AUCAGCACCACCAAGUACCAUGCGGUCAGCAAGAGAGCUGGGCUGAGUGUGUCAUUGGAGAAUUAAAAAGGAAUUAAAAACCAAGACGGGGAUCUGGGGAGGUGAGUAUUUGAAUCACUAUCACUCCGGGACUUUCCUUUUGAGUUGCAUUCCAAUCGGACAGACCUCAACCUGGCAGAGCCGUACCAUUGCUCAAUGUCAGAAACAUUCUCCUGGAAUGUGCGACAUGUGAACUUGGACACCCCCUGUAGCUUCCCUGUGUGACCCAGUGAGCUGCACCCUCCAUCAACACACCCUUCAUGAGAGCAGAGGCAGAACUCAGAGCUGGGGUGAGCGGGGAGGAGACAGGGACACAGAAGGUGAGGAGCCCGCAGCCUUCCUGCUCCGAGCUGUUUGUACAGACUCACUGAUGAGCAGACUCGGAAAGUGAGCCCUUGGGAACAGGCCAGGGCGGGAAGGGGGAGGUUUUCCUUUAGAAAAAAGCAAGAAUGUGAAUUGACAUUUUCCUUCUCUGUUUGUGCUUAGCAAUGUGAGAGAGAGAGACAGAGAAAGAAGGAAGGAAGGAAGGAAGGAAGGAAGGAAGGAAGGAAGGAAGGAAGGGGAAAGAAAGAAGAAAGAGAGAGAGAGGGAGGGAAAGAGGGAGGAAGAAAGAAAGAAAAACUACCCAAUCCCUCAAUUCCAAAGAGCUCCAAGAGUGGAUAUAUAUGGGCAUUCAAUUCCCCGUGCUGCCCCUGUCCAGCGAUGCCCCGACCUUAGCUCAGAUAGUCAGCUCAGGGAUCCAUGUCACACCACCAUAAAUGAAAAUCCGAGUUGGCAUGCUCAGAAGUCCACUGAGACCUUGCAGCGUGUUCUAGAGCUCAGAGUCUCAGUCAGCCAAGGACUAAUCUUUGGCAUCCUGCUCUGAUAGCCAUAUACAAAUCAAUCACAGUACCCCUCCCGCACCUCCAAAACUAGUACAGAGGAAAAGAAGGCUUCGUGGCCCACGUGCCAUCGAAGGCAGAUAAUAACGGAUUUGAGCACAGGGUGCUGUGUGUCAGGGUCAGGGGAACGCGGGGAGUCAAAAGGAGAAUGGUGAAACUAAAUCAAACACACACACUGUGAACAGCCACCGUGGGGAGAACCCGAUGGCUCUGCCCAUUUAACCUUUACAACCAAUGGGGUGCACGCGGCAGCUUCUCACAGCCCCUGCCCCAUCUAAUAGACCCGACUCUAUCCCACAGAAGGCGGGACUGCUUCUACAGGGACGAUUCCUCAGGCCAGCUGUUGGAGAUGCUGCACUCUUACACACAGGACAGCAAUUAGCUAAAAUAAUACCAAACUGCUGUCACCCCUAAUCCCUAAUUGCCCCUCUGGGCUUGUGGCUUGUCUACCAGAAGACACGCAGAGGAGCAAGUGGGAGGGCCGUUCAGGGGAGACUGGACGAGGUUCCAUGGGUAUUUUCAGAAGAAUGACAAGUGGGCUGGAGACAGCCAGCCAUACUCUGAGAGGCAAGGCAGAGUUGAGUGACUGACCUUGAGCUCUGGAUUGGGGAAGGAGGUGGAGGUGGGAGUGGCCAAAUGAUUAGAUCACAGUCACAUUAACCACAGGAUGGGUCCCCUCCUGGUCUCAUUCUGGAGCAACUGUGUGGCAGGCAUUUUAUUGAUGGAGGCAUCAGAAAGUAGUGACUGUGUAACCAGCAGCUUUAGAUCUCCUUUCAAGCCCAGAAAACUCAUCAGGUGACCUUGGGCCAGUCACCUCUCCUGUGUGGGACAAAUCAGUAAACCAAAUGAUUACAUUCACAGUCAUGGUUGAUUCCUGUAAGGCUUCGUAAGUCAUCUCUGUCUAAGCCAGGGUCUGAUCAGAAUACAUGUUAGUAGAUAAAACAAUGAGUCACAUGUAUGUCUAGUUUUGAAUUUUGAGAAGGAGGUAAAAAAGUGUGUCAAUUUCUUCCUUGCAGAAUGUAAAGAAGAGUUCCAUCACCACAGCAGAUGCCCCUGGAGGAGGGCUGAGCCUUUGUCAAUGCUACACCAAUAAAGGCACCUUUAGGAAAAUGACUGGAAGAAAUUCAUCAGCGAUAUCUUCCCAGCACCCAGCGUGAUGCAAAGCACAUAGUAAAUGUUGAAU
rnacentral:lncRNA from 1 species